AGGACUUGAUUCCAGGACCCUGGGAUCAGGACCUGAGCCGAAAGCAGAUGCUUAACUGACCAAGCCACCCAAGCAUCCCUAGAAAUAUUCUGUAACUUGAUUGUGGUGAUGGCUCCAUGACUACAUACGAUUAUGAAAACUUUUAAAGAGCAAAAAUAAAGUACAUAGUUUCUUGUUACUCUACCCUUUGGAGCAGCUUUUCAGAUGUCAGUAAUCUGACCAAGAAGAGUUUAUGUGAGAUCAAGAACAAAGGAGGACCAGUGUAAUAUUUCACACAGGAAGCCAUCCUACUGACAUUCCAGGAGGACAUGAAGUGAUAUUUUCAGAGAGCUGACGCCUGUAUACCAGGAAGUUCCCAGCACUUUAUAGAAUUAUACAUAACUUAAAAGAAAUUAGCCUGAAGUAAGUCACCACUUGCUCCCUCCCUGGUCACAAUAUGGCUGCAGCAGUUCCAGCUAUCAUGAUCUCACACCAAUGUCCAGAGGCUACAGAGCUGGUGUAAUGAAAGCCAAUCCCUAGAAACUGGUCUGCCAGGAAGAAAAGCUGUACUGAAGUGGACACCUAAUUUUUUGCUUUGGUCUUAAAGAAUAUUCCCAGUUCAUCGUGCAUUCUACUUCCAUAAGCUGCCAACUAAUUGACUAACCAAAGAUAACGAAAGCAAUUCCCAUUUAACCUGAACUAAAGAAAAAUGUGGACAAGAAGAAAAAAUAGAAAGUUUUCAGAGUAUUGAAUUUCACCAUGCAGAGGGGGAAGACUUUGAGCCAUGCGGAGAAAAGAGGCAGAGAGGUAGUGCUUUUAGGAAGGAUUGUUUUUAAGCCUAAUGUCAAAUUGCUUUAUUCUCUGGGCAAGUGUCUGCAUGUUUAUUUUCAUGGGUUAAAUGAUUCCUUUAAGAUGAAUUAAACACCAUCUCAUUUCCUUGUGAAUUGAAGUUUUUAAAACAUUUUUUUUCCCUUGGGAAUUUGUCACAUUAAAUCCACUUGGUUUGUGCAUCUAUGUCGAAAACAGACUAAGGGGAACUGGGACUUCAUCUUAUUUCUCUAAUUGGCUUCCGUACCUUCCUGUCUUGUGAGAAUUGAAUGUUGUUUGGAUACCCCUCUCCUUUUUCAGCUCUAGAGCGAAUAUCCAGUGUCUGCUUGGUAAUUUUUCUCUUUUGGGACAACCACACCCUAGGUCAGGAUAGCUUGUUUUCAGUAUAGGGCCAGCUGUUCAGGAUUACUUUUUCAGGGUUGGAAACCUCCAGUUUGGACCUUGAAGCAAAAGGCUGAGAAUAAAAAUGUAAAGAAAAAGGUCAAAUAAUAUUCUGUCAGAUUGUUGAGUUUCUGUUUGGAACCGAAUCUGUCUCUAGUAUCCCUGCUCUAGACAUAUUGCUCUAAAGAACAUAUGAUGACAAGUCAUCAAUAUUAAGUGAAAACACACCCCUCUCCUUUCCUCUAGGCAACAAAAGCAAAUACUAAAAAAGGACUAGAAUAGUGAAAUUUAUAAUUUGCCACCUGAAUAAAAAAGUAUUUCUUGAUAACUCUAAGGGCUUGGAAUCUAGGCCUGCACUCCCAAGUCCCUCUGUGUAUAAAUAAAAGGCAGUGAUCAAAGCAGACAUUUUAGUGAGGCAAACAACUUGAGAGCCAUCUUUACCAUAAUGGGCUACUGAAGUUGAGUAAUUAGUAGCUACAGAAUUUAGAGCGCAGUUUAAGGAAGUUAGUCUCUGUAGCUGAAAGCAUAUGCCAUGUCAUAAGAAUUUGUUAUGUCACAAGAAUAUUCACUGUAUUCUUUGAAACAAAGAAAAAAGAAAAUAAUAAAUAUCAAGUUCAAUAAUUAAAAUUUGUAUUUCAUAAAGUUGGCUAUUUUUUCUCUUGUAUUUAGAUUGCACU